CUCAGAUUGAACGCUGGCGGCAGGCCUAACACAUGCAAGUCGAGCGGUAGAGAGAAGCUUGCUUCUCUUGAGAGCGGCGGACGGGUGAGUAAUGCCUAGGAAUCUGCCUGGUAGUGGGGGAUAACGUUCGGAAACGGACGCUAAUACCGCAUACGUCCUACGGGAGAAAGCAGGGGACCUUCGGGCCUUGCGCUAUCAGAUGAGCCUAGGUCGGAUUAGCUAGUUGGUGAGGUAAUGGCUCACCAAGGCAACGAUCCGUAACUGGUCUGAGAGGAUGAUCAGUCACACUGGAACUGAGACACGGUCCAGACUCCUACGGGAGGCAGCAGUGGGGAAUAUUGGACAAUGGGCGAAAGCCUGAUCCAGCCAUGCCGCGUGUGUGAAGAAGGUCUUCGGAUUGUAAAGCACUUUAAGUUGGGAGGAAGGGUUGUAGAUUAAUACUCUGCAAUUUUGACGUUACCGACAGAAUAAGCACCGGCUAACUCUGUGCCAGCAGCCGCGGUAAUACAGAGGGUGCAAGCGUUAAUCGGAAUUACUGGGCGUAAAGCGCGCGUAGGUGGUUUGUUAAGUUGGAUGUGAAAUCCCCGGGCUCAACCUGGGAACUGCAUUCAAAACUGACUGACUAGAGUGUGGUAGAGGGUGGUGGAAUUUCCUGUGUAGCGGUGAAAUGCGUAGAUAUAGGAAGGAACACCA
rnacentral:rRNA from 1 species